rnacentral:rRNA from 1 species
ACUCAAAUGAAUUGACGGGGGCCCGCACAAGCAGUGGAGCAUGUGGUUUAAUUCGAUGCAACGCGAAGAACCUUACCUGGGCUAGAAGUGUAGAGGACGAAUGCAGAGAUGUAUUCUUCCGCAAGGACCUCUACAUAGGUGCUGCAUGGCUGUCGUCAGCUCGUGCCGUGAGGUGUUUGGUUAAGUCCAGCAACGAGCGCAACCCUUAUCGUUAGUUGCCAACAUGUAAUGGUGGGAACUCUAACGAGACUGCCUGGGUUAACCAGGAGGAAGGUGAGGAUGACGUCAAGUCCGCAUGGCCUUUAUGUCCAGGGCUACACACGUGCUACAAUGGUCGGUACAGAAGGCAGCGAAACCGUAAGGUGAAGCAAAUCCCCUAAAACCGAUCUCAGUUCAGAUUGUAGUCUGCAACUCGGCUACAUGAAGUUGGAAUUGCUAGUAAUGGCGUGUCAGCAACAACGCCGUGAAUACGUUCCCGGGCCUUGCACACACCGCCCGU